AUAUAUAUAUAUAUAUAUAUAUAUAUAUAUAUAUAUAUAUAUAUAUAUAUAUUAUGAGGUCAAAUAAAAUAAUAAUGAUAUUUAUAAUGGCUUCAUGACAAUCAUGUUUAUGACAGAUUUAUGACAAGUUUUGUUGUCUUGGUAAUGUCAAGUUAUCAUAACAAA
rnacentral:lncRNA from 1 species